CCUUGACACUUUUAGUAACAGGUAGUGAAGAAAGUGAAGUCUGGGGUAGAUGCAUUAUAUUAACGCGUCAGUUGACGUUAUUAAUCAUUACUUACACCGAAUUUGAAGAAAAUUGUUAUAAUGAUGUUACCAGUUGUAAUACCAGUUUUGAUUAGCUGUUUUGUCUCAGUUUAUUCAGAAACUACUGUUGAAGUACCACGCUGGAAGAAAAUAUUGGGUAAAUAUAUGAAAUGGGAAGGCCGAUAUAAUUACCAGUCAGAGAUACAUCAUUGUAGAAUGAUUGUUCAUUCUAUACAGUUAACACAAACUGGUGGUAUGGUGGCUACAUUUAAAGAUGAGUCCACAAAUAUGGAUAUAGAAGGGUAUUCUACACUUACAGAAGAAGAUGUUAUAGAGAUACGUAAAGUUACGGCCUAUAAUUCAAGUGACAUAUUUCCGCCAACGAAAGGUUUCCGAGCUUACUUAAAACUGAGAUUGGAUCGAGAUCGUUGGAUUUUAUCAGGAAAUGUAACAGAACCAAAAGGUUUUAGUGUCCUAUAUCUUGAUGCUAUCAGUUCACAUAAUACAGCUACAGUAUUGAAUGAUGAUCAGAGAGCAUCAAGAAUUGGAUUAUCUGUGGGUAUACCGUUAGCUCUAGCUAUUAUAUUAUCAAUAGUUGCUGUUAGUUUGAUAGUCUGGGCUAUUAAACGUGGAUAUUUACGACUUAGACCCAACAGUUAUAAACAUUUUAGAAACAACGAUAUGGUCACAUUUAAUGACUGUAAUCAACGUCCCACCAUGGAGAAGGACUCUGGUCAACAGAUGACGGAUAGUAACACAAUAGAUCUUGGAGAAACACCAUCUUCUGUUCACAUCUAAACAUUCCAUCCAUAUCUUUUCUUUUUUCGACUAUUCAUAGCUUUGAACAUUGAUGUUUUCCAUAACUUUUUACCCCUAAUCUCUCUGACCAUUGCUGUAAUUGGAGCCAAAACUUGGGUUUUUGAAUGGGUGUGUCUAUUUUUGUCAUCCAAUUAAAUCUUUCAUUGUUGAAAGAUUUGGGGUCUUUGCUUAAUCUUCGGACAGUUGAUUAACUGUAUUAAAAUAUGGUGAAAACAUUGUCGGUCUGCUUCAAAUAUGACCAUAGAAACCCAUGCUAUUUUGACAAGGUACUGCUUCACAGUUCAAGUUUUUCUCCAAAUUUGAUGUGAAGCAGUGGGACAAUGAAAGGAUGAGCCCUAUUGUCCAUCUCUUGCAAAAUGUUGAUGUAUCUUGCAAAAUUAAAGUAUUCUGUUUUUAUAUGCCCACAUUGAAAUGUGGUCGUAUAUUGUCGUCGCCCCCGUCCGUCCAGCGUCCACAAGAUCUAGAGGCUAAAGUUAAUAUCCGAUUGACUUUAAAUAAAUUUAUACGCCAUGAUUGAGGUCAUGAGAUGAAGAAUCCAAUUGAUUUUCAACGAUUUCCGAUAAUUACUGCUAAAGUAAUGGCCCUUGAUCACUUUGAAAAAGCUUGUGACGCUCUAGAAGCUAAAGUUAUCAUCCUAUUUACUUCAGAUUGAUACACAGAGUUUAAGGUCUUGAGACGAACACGUAUAUUGAUUUUCAAUGAAUUUUGAUAACUUCCAACAGCUGAAUCCAUGGUAUUAAAUGUUUCGUAUACUAAACUGUUAGCAUGGGGCAGAACUUUCUAAAACCAAACAAAUUCUAAUGAUUUUCUGAUAAUUACUUUAUGAGUUGUUUCUCUUAAUCAGAUUUUAGUGUACAUGUAUUAUAAAUGUUUCAUUACCAAAAAAAGUCAAAAUAUGCAACAGCUCUUGUUGACUUCCCGGACGAUUGAGCUGCUGUGGGCGUAUGUUUCGUUGCCUGGCAACCUAUCUUUCAUAAUAAUAUGGUAGUAUUGGGUAGUAAUAAUAGUAUUGGGUAAAUUGUUCUGCCAGAUUUUUCAUGUUAAAUUACGGAAAAUGUUCCUCAUAUAGGUACACAUAUUUGUACCUCUGGUAUAUAACUUGCAUCUUAGAUAUUAAAAUAAAUGGCUUUUAUUGCUCAUAUUUAAUACAGAUUUAUAUUGUUUUCAGCGAGUUCUUGAAACAUCAAUGCUAAUUGUUUAAUCAAAUGUCUGACAUCAUAGGGUCAAAAGCCACUAAUAUGACCCCUGACAUGACCUCCCAUUACAACCGGUCAGAUCUUCAUGUAGUAGAGGCCAUUGCAAGCAUAAAAAAAAUGAAACGAAAUAUAGAUUUAUAUUUUUAUCAGAUUGAGGGACAUCAGCCUCACUUUUGGUUUGUUUAUAUAGUAUUUUAUACCCAGCUUUAUACUGUCAUAGUAUGUAUAUAUACGUUUUAUCUCAAGAGCUGAAUUUUGAAUUAAAAUGGUUAUAAUUUGGUUCAAUAUUGUUGUUGAUAAAUGUCUUCAGCUGUUUUUAGGAUUUUAUAUUUUAAUGAUACAAUCUAGUAUUUUACUCUUUACAAUAACACUAACAGUAUAAUAUGUUUUAUUGUGCAUAAUAUUUUAAAUUUCUAUCUACAUUUACUUCUAUCAAAAUAAAUUUAUUGCACCCGUUUGUGCACUGAUAAUUUUUGGAACUAAUCGCCAUUAGUUUUAAAAUAUUCUUAUCUAUCUUAUACUGGUCACAGAUUGUAGUUGGGAGAAGUGAGUCACAGUGGCUAAAUGAGUAAGACGUUUGUUCGCUAACCUGGUGAUGUCGUGUUCAGUCCCUGCAUUGGCCAUGAAAGUUCAACGGAUUUUCCCUCAUGGUUCCCCCAUGUCAGUGGUGCAGGACAGAGGGUCUGGCAAGGGACAACGUUUAGUUCGGAUGUGACGAAAAACCAAGGUUCUGUGUACACAUUGACUUGCAUAUAAAAGAUCCCUUAGUUCCUCAUAGUACACUGUAUGGCAUAUGCCCGUCUGCAGUACAGUAGGACGUUAAACCCCAUUUCAUUUCAUAGUAGCGAAAUUUCUAGUAGUAUAAUAAGAAUGGCAAACAUUUUGGAAAAACCCAUUUCACAUUAUUGAGCAGGUCUAUUGACAACUAAUGGCCUAUUUAUUCCACAGACCGAAAAUUUCUCCUGCAUAUCACCUGAACUGACAGUUAAUAAUGAAACCAGUCCCAAGUAGUCUUGCAUUUCUAGGUAUAAAUCUCUAAUAUGUUUUUAUUUUAUUUAUUACAAGCUGAUUGGUAUUUUAUUUUAGGGGUAGAUGUCUAUAAUAUUUGCUAUUUAUUAUAUUAAUUAGAAGGUUAAUAAAAUAAAUAUUUUUUCCAUUCAUUAAAAUUAUAUUUCAUGUUUGAAAUGUUUCUCCGAGUUCAAUUCUUCAUAAAUGUAACAAUGUUGUAAAAUUUUUUCAUUGUAUUAAAUAUGCAUUCAAGCUUUGUAUAUAUACAUGUUUACAUUCCAUCCAAUUAUAUUAUUCUAUUAUGUUUACCAUUUUAUAAGAAAAUGAAUAAAAUACAAGUAUU